ACGGAGAUUUCAGCAAUGAAAUCUUAGUGGCGAACGGGUGAGUAACGCGUAGACAACCUGCCUUCUAGAUGGGGACAACACUGCGAAAGUGGUGCUAAUACCGAAUGUUGUAUUAAAGAUGCAUAUCUUAAAUACUAAAGGUGGCCUCUAUUUAUAUGCUACCACUAGAAGAUGGGUCUGCGUCUGAUUAGCUAGUUGGUGAGGUAAUGGCUCACCAAGGCGACGAUCAGUAGCCGGUCUGAGAGGAUGAACGGCCACACUGGGACUGAGACACGGCCCAGACUCCUACGGGAGGCAGCAGUGGGGAAUCUUCCGCAAUGGACGAAAGUCUGACGGAGCAACGCCGCGUGAGUGAAGAAGGUUUUCGGAUCGUAAAACUCUGUUUUCAGGGACGAAUGUGCGCAGUGUAAAUAAUGCUGUGUAAUGACGGUACCUGAGUAGAAAGCCACGGCUAACUACGUGCCAGCAGCCGCGGUAAU
rnacentral:rRNA from 1 species